rnacentral:rRNA from 1 species
UACAGAGGGGGCAAGCGUUGUUCGGAAUUACUGGGCGUAAAGGGCGCGUAGGCGGCCGGCUCAGUCGAACGUGAAAUCCCCGGGCUCAACCCGGGAACUGCGUUCGAUACUGGCUGGCUUGAAUCCGGGAGAGGGAUGCGGAAUUCCAGGUGUAGCGGUGAAAUGCGUAGAUAUCUGGAGGAACACCGGUGGCGAAGGCGGCAUCCUGGACCGGCAUUGACGCUGAGGCGCGAAAGCUAGGGGAGCAAACGGG